CUGUCUGCUGCUACACAAUUAGGAGAUGUUAUCAAAACUGUGAUGAAAAAAGUCAAAGAAGAUAGAAAAGAUGUUUUCAUAGUUUAAGGACAAGGAGAUAUUGUUUUUCCAUGACAAUCAAAGACAGCUUUGAUGAAACUCAGACACUUUGUUCAAUAUAUACUGAUAGCAAACCAUUUGUGUGACAAUUGAGUGUGUUCCUUAGUUUCAUACUUUUUAAUGUCCUUGUUUUAUCAACAAUAAUAAUUGCUAUGUACAGUUUGGGGUAACACAAUAUAUGAUCAGUCUUAAGACAGAUAUUUGACUUACAUCUGAGAUAAGACAUCUUGAGGCAAAAUGUCUUAUCAAAUAUAUCACAUGUUAAAGUGUAGUGAUAUCAAGAUAAGGUAGUUUUACAGUUAUUGAAAGUUUUUCCUUCGAUUCACUCAAUUUGAAGAUUUAAAGAAAGACCAAUACAAAUAAAUUUAAACUAUAUUACUGAUAUCUGCCAGACUGUCAAACCUUAAGUUUUAUAUUUAUAUAGGAGUGUAUUUACAAUACUUAAUGUUUUUGGGAACUUUUCUACAGCUUUUGGGCUGAUAUAUGUUUUGUUUAUUUGAUACACUGUUGGAAAAUAUUCUAACCUAAAAAAAUAAUGUUGAAAAGUCAAAAUUAAAUACUUAUAUAUUGAACAGUUAUUGUCAAUUUGCAUUGAGCAAGAUUGUUUCAUUAUGUAUUUCUCAAAUUG
rnacentral:lncRNA from 1 species